rnacentral:rRNA from 1 species
AUGAACGCUGGCGGCGUGCCUAAUACAUGCAAGUCGAGCGAACAGACGGGGAGCUUGCUCCUCUGACGUUAGCGGCGGACGGGUGAGUAACACGUGGAUAACCUACCUAUAAGACUGGGAUAACUUCGGGAAACCGGAGCUAAUACCGGAUAAUAUAUUGAACCGCAUGGUUCAAUAGUGAAAGACGGUUUUGCUGUCACUUAUAGAUGGAUCCGCGCCGCAUUAGCUAGUUGGUAAGGUAACGGCUUACCAAGGCAACGAUGCGUAGCCGACCUGAGAGGGUGAUCGGCCACACUGGAACUGAGACACGGUCAGACUCCUACGGGAGGCAGCAGUAGGGAAUCUUCCGCAAUGGGCGAAAGCUUGACGGAGCAACGCCGCGUGAGUGAUGAAGGUCUUCGGAUCGUAAAACUCUGUUAUUAGGGAAGAACAAAUGUGUAAGUAACUAUGCACGUCUUGACGGUACCUAAUCAGAAAGCCACGGCUAACUACGUG